rnacentral:rRNA from 1 species
UACGGAGGGGAGCUAGCGUUGUUCGGAAUUACUGGGCGUAAAGCGCGCGUAGGCGGCUUUGUAAGUUAGAGGUGAAAGCCUGGAGCUCAACUCCAGAAUUGCCUUUAAGACUGCAUCGCUUUGAAUCCAGGAGAGGUGAGUGGAAUUCCGAGUGUAGAGGUGAAAUUCGUAGAUAUUCGGAAGAACACCAGUGGCGAAGGCGGCUCACUGGACUGGUAUUGACGCUGAGGUGCGAAAGCGUGGGGAGCAAACAGG